CACAAAACUAUAGCUUUAGUAUUAAUGCUUGGCUUUUAAUAGAAUUGUUUAAAUGACACUCUUUAACUGACGUGUUUUACGGCCACGAGCAAGCUACUUCUUAUCACGCGAGUAAACAUUACUUCUUUGCUGUGGUUGCUCGUCAAACGGCCACCAUGUGCUCAACCCAGGAACUCGUUGUCUCACAGUAAGCGUUUUAGUACGAGAGACAAGUAAGGUGUUUAACUCUUCAACGACCGCAAUAAAACGCAGUAUACCGUGCCACGUCACUCGCACCAGGCCCAUACGCGUGAGACUACCAUUCAACCAAUCAUAUUGGCCUAAGCGCAUGAUUCCACGAGUUGAUUAAUCACAUUGGCCGACAGCGCGUUUCUCAUUGGUCAGCCGAAAUACCAAUUACUCGCGGGAAUUGUAUAUAAGGUGCACAGAUAGCGGAGUUAGUUGCUUAAGCUGUUAAGACACCGUGCUUACUACAAACUUAUACGAAAUGGCGAAGUUGUUGGCACUUGCUGUUGCACUGAUGACACUGCAGCUGACAGUCUCUCUCCCACGACAAGGGAGCUACCUUAGUAAUAUGUAUUGUUGCGCAAAGGGACAAUGCCCGUGUUCUUUGGCUUUUGGAGAAGACUAUGGCCCUGAUGUGCAAUUUUUACGAGGACUGAAAGCAAAUAAACAAGAAUUGGAACUGCCAAGACAAGAGGAAUUUGAAAAGGAACCAACACAGGAUUUUGCUGCGCUGCAGCGUAUUUAGAACUUAAAAAGAUCCUCUCCCUUCGUCAUACCAGAUGCCAGAUAUCACAUAAGGUCUUUUCCUCUCUGUAGGAAAAACGACCGCGAGGAAUAAAAAACUAAUUAGCAGCCAAAUGGACGUCAUUUGUCAUUUCUUUAUGAACGACAAAUUGCAAAGCGCUUGUCUAUGAUUUUUUCACAAAUGUGUGAAGUAAAGAAGAAAAAAAGAUUCAUUAUAGAGUAUAUAGUUAUAUACAAAUAGAUUUGUACGAUUGUCUUCAAAUAAACAAUUUUGUAUACUUGA